CGGGUGAGUAAUGUCUGGGAAACUGCCUGAUGGAGGGGGAUAACUACUGGAAACGGUAGCUAAUACCGCAUAACGUCUUCGGACCAAAGUGGGGGACCUUCGGGCCUCACGCCAUCGGAUGUGCCCAGAUGGGAUUAGCUAGUAGGUGGGGUAAUGGCUCACCUAGGCGACGAUCCCUAGCUGGUCUGAGAGGAUGACCAGCCACACUGGAACUGAGACACGGUCCAG
rnacentral:rRNA from 1 species